rnacentral:rRNA from 1 species
UACACGACUCUCGGCAAUGGAUAUCUCGGCUCUCGCAUCGAUGAAGAGCGCAGCGAAAUGCGAUACGUGGUGCGAAUUGCAGAAUCCCGCGAACCAUCGAGUCUUUGAACGCAAGUUGCGCCCGAGGCCAACCGGCUAAGGGCACGUCUGCCUGGGCGUCAAUC